rnacentral:tRNA from 1 species
AAUGAAGUGCCUGACAAAAGGUCUACUUUGAUAGAGUAAAAUAUAUGGUUUUCCAUCUUCAUUA